GAGUUUGAUCGUGGCUCAGGAUAAACGCUGGCGGCACACAUAAGACAUGCAAGUCGAACGGACUUAAGCCUUAGUUUACUAUGGCGGCGGUUAGUGGCGGACUGGUGAGUAACACGUAAGCAACCUGCCUAUCAGAGGGGAACAACAGUUAGAAAUGACUGCUAAUACCGCAUAUGCCUUAAUCUCCACAUGGAGAUAGAGGGAAAGGAGCAAUCCGCUGAUAGAUGGGCUUGCGUCUGAUUAGAUAGUUGGUGGGGUAACGGCCUACCAAGUCGACGAUCAGUAGCCGAACUGAGAGGUUGAACGGCCACAUUGGGACUGAGAUACGGCCCAGACUCCUACGGGAGGCAGCAGUCGGGAAUAUUGCGCAAUGG
rnacentral:rRNA from 1 species